rnacentral:rRNA from 1 species
UGGGGAAUUUUGCGCAAUGGGCGAGAGCCUGACGCAGCAACGCCGCGUGGGUGAUGAAGGUCUUCGGAUCGUAAAACCCUGUCGUCAGGGACGAAGGUCGCGAGUUUAAGAGAUGCGCGACUUGACGGUACCUGGAGAGGAAGCCCCGGCUAACUCUGUGCCAGCAGCCGCGGUAAUACAGAGGGGGCAAGCGUUAUUCGGAAUUAUUGGGCGUAAAGGGCGCGUAGGCGGUGUCUUAAGUGAGAUGUGUAAUCCCCGGGCUUAACUUGGGAACUGCAUCUCAGACUGGGGCGCUAGAGUACUGGAGAGGGUGGUGGAAUUCCACGUGUAGCGGUGAAAUGCGUAGAGAUGUGGAGGAACACCAGUGGCGAAGGCGGCCACCUGGACAGUGACUGACGCUGAGGCGCGAAAGUGUGGGGAGCAAACA